AAUCAACGCUGGCGGCGCGCUUAACACAUGCAAGUCGAACGAGAAAGUGGAGCAAUCCAUGAGUACAGUGGCGCACUGGUGAGUAACACGUGGGUAAUUUACCUCUUUGUGGGGAAUAACCCUGGGAAACCGGGGAUAAUACCGCAUACGUCCGAGAGGAGAAAGCCGAAAGGCGCAGAGAGAGAAGCCCGCGCCCGAUUAGCUAGUUGGUGAGGUAAAAGCCCACCAAGGCGACGAUCGGUAGCCGGCCUGAGAGGGCACACGGCCACACUGGCACUGAAACACGGGCCAGACUCCUACGGGAGGCAGCAGUGGGGAAUCUUGCACAAUGGGGGAAACCCUGAUGCAGCGACGCCGCGUGAACGAUGAAGCCCUUCGGGGUGUAAAGUUCUUUCGACAGGAACGAUAAUGACGGUACCUGAAGAAGAAGCUGCGGCUAACUACGUGCCAGCAGCCGCGGUAAUACGUAGGCAGCAAGCGUUGUUCGGAAUUACUGGGCGUAAAGAGUGCGUAGGUGGUUGGCUAAGUUUGGUGUGAAAUCUCCCGGCUCAACUGGGAGGGUGCGCCGAAAACUGGCUAGCUAGAGUGUGGGAGAGGGACGUGGAAUUCCUGGUGUAGCGGUGAAAUGC
rnacentral:rRNA from 1 species